AAAUUAUGCAAGAAUAGUAAAUCAUACAGUAAAUUAAUAUUUUAGUUUCUUAAAGAGUUUCUUAUGAAUAUUUUUUAAAGUUUCAUAUAUAUAUUAGGAUGAUAAGAAACUUGAAAAUAUACUCUACAGUAUAACUGUAAAUUAUCCAUCCAGAUCCAGAAAGACAAACUUAAGAAAAUAGUCCUUUUAAUUAGUUCACCAUAAAUGGAAAUUGUAUACACACAGAAAUGUAUACAGUAGUACCGGUACAGCAUAACCCUGUUGAAUGACAAUGCAUUUUAAUUUAGCCCUGAAAGCUGGGUUUAGCUGUUGGUCCCCCUGAAAUAUCUAGAGUGGCUGUGUUUUCUUUGCAACAGGAAUGUCCAGCUCUCCCAGUCUAACAGCUGCCAGAAGAAUCUGUACUCUUGUCACUUUCAUAUAUGGACAAGUCAGCAUGGCAACCUGUGACGUCACUGCUGCUAAAAACAGCCCUAACACCCAGCAGACUCCCGGCCAUUAAACAAUGUGAUCUUUGUGGAGAUACUCCUGAGUACACUCUACCUCAAUCUGGACUCCAAAUUAUUAGCAGGAAAGAAACUUACCGGAAAGCGUUUUGUCAAAACUUCUUUUUCCCAAGCUCUGCGUGGUUUUAAACUGUGCAAUGAGUACCUCUCUGGAGUACUUGUAUUCCAAAGAGCAGCAAACCAUGGAUAAUCUAGAGAAGCAACUGAUUUGCCCUAUCUGUUUGGAAAUGUUUAGCAAACCAGUGGUCAUUCUUCCUUGUCAGCACAACCUUUGUCGAAAAUGUGCCAAUGAUAUUUUCCAGGCCUCUAAUCCUUACCUACCAACCAGAGGAGGCAACACAGUGGCUGCAGGCGGUCGAUUCCGAUGCCCUUCUUGCAGGCAUGAAGUGGUCUUGGACAGACAUGGGGUUUACGGGCUGCAGAGAAACCUUCUGGUGGAGAAUAUCAUUGAUUUGUAUAAACAGGAGUCUACCAGUAAGUCGGGCCCUGAGAGGAAACGUGACCAGCCCAUGUGUGAAGAGCACGAAGAUGAGAAAAUCAACAUCUACUGUGUGACGUGUGAAACACCCACCUGCUCCUUAUGUAAAGUCUUCGGAGCUCAUAAAGACUGCGAGGUGGCUCCCCUGGAUAAGGUUUUCCAAAGGCAAAAGUCUGAACUCAGUGAUGGGAUAGCAAUGCUGGUUGGCAACAAUGACAGAAUUCAGGGAAUAAUCAGUCAACUGGAAGAGUCUUGCAGAACUAUUGAGGAAAACUGCAGGAGACAGAAGUCCCAGGUGUGUGAAAAGUUUGAUUUCUUGUAUGCAACCCUGGAAGAAAGGAAAGGAGAGAUGACUCAGAAAAUCACAAGUGAACAGGAGGAGAAGCUCCAGUACGUCCGGACUCUGAAAAAGAAAUAUGGUGAUCAUCUGGAGGCAGUAUCCAAGAUAGUGGAGUCUGGAAUUCAGUCGAUGGAUGAGCCCGAAAUGGCUCUUUUUCUGCAGAAUGCUAAACCGCUCGUAAAAAAAAUUACUGAAGCCUCUGACAUAUCAAAUUUGGAAAAGGUGGAACGUGGCUAUGAAAAUAUGGAUCACUUCAAAGUCAAUUUUGAGAGAGAAGGAAGGGGACUGCGGAGUAUAGAUUUUAUCAGAGAGGAGGAGGAAGAGGAGGCCGAGGAAGGAGAAGAGGAGGAAAGAGAGGGAGAUGAGGAGGUCCACACAGAGCCCGAGUCUGACGUGGAGGAGGGAGCCACAGAGACACCGGUGAAACAGCCAGAGCAGACAGCAGUGAAGAGUGAGCCGGCUGCCGAAGCUGCUUGCCCUCCCACUGGGGAAACUCCACCCCAGCUAGCCAAUAUGCCUGUGCAGGGGGCAGUUGAGCAGAGUGGGUCUCUUGGCACUGCGGAGACAGGAGUGCUUUCAACAGAAGCCAAUGCAAAUCCUUUGUUGUACCCUAGUUGGUACAAACCCCAAACAGGGCUUGCAAACAGUCCUACUCUGGCCCAAUCGAGUGAUGGCAUUGGUCAGUUGGGAGCUUCAGUGUCACCUGGAGGGGAUACGCAGAAGGCAGCAGCAGUAAAAGAGAGCCCAGCUGUGGACAGUAAGGAAUCUAGGUCGUCUGCAGCUUCGUCCCAGCCGGCAGCUCCCUUCUCUUGGCCUCCCCAGGCGACGGAGAGCAGGUCUUCCCAGGCGACGGUGAGCAGGUCUCCCCAGGCGAUGGCGAUCAGGCCUCUCCAGGCGACGGCAAGCAGGCCUCCUCAGGCGAUGGCGAGCAGGCCUCCCCAGGCGAUGAUAAACAGGCCUCCCCAGGCGAUGCGUUGCAGGCAGCCCGGGCAGUGCAGGCUUAAGCAGCUGCAGCUCCUCUCCCUCUGGUGGUGGAGGUGGGAGCAACAUGUAGUCUCCCUCUAUCACUGGGGACUGAUGCGGCUGUCCUGCCUGUGGAUCUGGAGUAGGCGUGGCUCCUCCCGAUGAGACUGGAGGCAGUGGGGACAGUCCCAUAUCGACAACCAGCACUAGCCAUCGACUCUCAACUGAAGCUACAACCUCACUGUAAACUACAAGCUCGCUGUUGCUGGUUUCUGCCACUAGAGGUUGGUUCUGAUAACGUAGCAAGUGGACAAAAUGAAAAUCAACAAAACACUGAAGAUAAAGGCGGCCAGGGACCUCGUCAUGUU